rnacentral:rRNA from 1 species
GAUGAACGCUGGCGGCGUGCCUAAUACAUGCAAGUCGAGCGAACGGACGAGAAGCUUGCUUCUCUGAUGUUAGCGGCGGACGGGUGAGUAACACGUGGAUAACCUACCUAUAAGACUGGGAUAACUUCGGGAAACCGUAGCUAAUACCGGAUAAUAUUUUGAACCGCAUGGUUCAAAAGUGAAAGACGGUCUUGCUGUCACUUAUAGAUGGAUCCGCGCUGCAUUAGCUAGUUGGUAAGGUAACGGCUUACCAAGGCAACGAUGCAUAGCCGACCUGAGAGGGUGAUCGGCCACACUGGAACUGAGACACGGUCCUGACUCCUACGGGAGGCAGCAGUAGGGAAUCUUCCGCAAUGGGCGAAAGCCUGACGGAGCAACGCCGCGUGAGUGAUGAAGGUCUUCGGAUCGUAAAACUCUGUUAUUAGGGAAGAACAUAUGUGUAAGUAACUGUGCACAUCUUGACGGUACCUAAUCAGAAAGCCACGGCUAACUACGU